CAACAGCGUAUAUUUAAGUUGUUGCAGUUAAAAAGCUCGUAGUUGGAUUUCGGAUGGGCUUGACCGGUCCGCCGUUUGGUGUGCACUGGUCGUGCCUAUCUUGCUGCCGGGGACGCGCUCCUGGCCUUAAUUGGCUGGGACGCGGAGUCGGCGAUGUUACUUUGAAAAAAUUAGAGUGUUCAAAGCAGGCCUAAGCUCUGAAUACAUUAGCAUGGAAUAACGCUAUAGGACUCUGGUCUUAUUGCGUUGGUCUUCGAGACCGGAGUAAUGAUUAAGAGGGACAGUUGGGGGCAUUCGUAUUUCAUUGUCAGAGGUGAAAUUCUCGGAUUUAUGAAAGACGAACUUCUGCGAAAGCAUUUGCCAAGGAUGUUUUCAUUAA
rnacentral:rRNA from 1 species